GCUGACCAAUGGGAGCGGUCCUCUCUGAUCACAUGACUAGUUGGCAUAAGCUGUUUUAACACGUGGUUCAGUACUGAAAGUAAGGUUAUGUAAGUAUUGGAAACACUGGAGCUCGUAAAAGACAGGCAACUGGCAAAAGAAGAAAA